GCCUGGUAGUGGGGGAUAACGUCCGGAAACGGACGCUAAUACCGCAUACGUCCUACGGGAGAAAGCAGGGGACCUUCGGGCCUUGCGCUAUCAGAUGAGCCUAGGUCGGAUUAGCUAGUUGGUGGGGUAAUGGCUCACCAAGGCGACGAUCCGUAACUGGUCUGAGAGGAUGAUCAGUCACACUGGAACUGAGACACGGUCCAGACUCCUACGGGAGGCAGCAGUGGGGAAUAUUGGACAAUGGGCGAAAGCCUGAUCCAGCCAUGCCGCGUGUGUGAAGAAGGUCUUCGGAUUGUAAAGCACUUUAAGUUGGGAGGAAGGGCAGUAAAUUAAUACUUUGCUGUUUUGACGUUACCGACAGAAUAAGCACCGGCUAACUCUGUGCCAGCAGCCGCGGUAAUACAGAGGGUGCAAGCGUUAAUCGGAAUUACUG
rnacentral:rRNA from 1 species